GAUGAACGCUGGCGGCGUGCCUAAUACAUGCAAGUCGAGCGAACGGACGAGAAGCUUGCUUCUCUGAUGUUAGCGGCGGACGGGUGAGUAACACGUGGAUAACCUACCUAUAAGACUGGGAUAACUUCGGGAAACCGGAGCUAAUACCGGAUAAUAUUUUGAACCGCAUGGUUCAAAAGUGAAAGACGGUCCUGCUGUCACUUAUAGAUGGAUCCGCGCUGCAUUAGCUAGUUGGUAAGGUAACGGCUUACCAAGGCAACGAUGCAUAGUCGACCUGAGAGGGUGAUCGGCCACACUGGAACUGAGACACGGUCCAGACUCCUACGGGAGGCAGCAGUAGGGAAUCUUCCGCAAUGGGCGAAAGCCUGACGGAGCAACGCCGCGUGAGUGAUGAAGGUCUUCGGAUCGUAAAACUCUGUUAUUAGGGAAGAACAUAUGUGUAAGUAACUGUGCACAUCUUGACGGUACCUAAUCAGAAAGCCACGGCUAACUACGUG
rnacentral:rRNA from 1 species